rnacentral:rRNA from 1 species
UACAGAGGUCUCGAGCGUUAGGCGGAAUCACUGGGCUUAAAGCGUGUGUAGGCGGAUCGGUAAGUACCUUGUGAAAUCUCACAGCUUAACUGUGGAACUGCUUGGUAUACUGCCAGUCUUGAGCCACUUAGGGGCUACCGGAACAAAUGGUGGAGCGGUGAAAUGCGUAGAUAUCAUUUGGAACGCCAAUGGUGAAAACAGGUAGCUGGGAGUGUGCCGACGCUGAGACACGAAAGCCAGGGGAGCAAACGGG